AAUAGACCUAAUCUUUAGGAGCUAGCGGCAGCACCCCAAAAAAUACACACGCCUCUGUCGCCCCCAUUUCCAAAAACCCAUUUUUCCACCAAACUUUUGAACUUUCUCCACCACACCUUCUUCACAAGCUCUUUUGCAUAGAAAACUAAAAUAGAAGAGGUGCUCUCUUACUUGUAACCGAAGAUGACCAAAGAAAAAAUGGAGAAUUCACUAGUAGAAUAAGGAAUUAUGCAAGGACUCAUCACUAGCAGUAGCAAUUAGCGGCGCUUGUCGUCGUCGUUCUACCCAAAGAAGUUCCUUCAAAAUCCACUUCUACUUCAACAAUUUAAUCAGCUAAAGACGACGAAUCUUCUCGUCUCCUCUUCGAUAAUUUGAUUGAGACUUGAGAUGCCGUCGAGUUGAAGUUUCCUUUCGUUGGUUUCGAUCUAAGGUUAUUGUUGCCGUCCAUUUUUCCGGUUAUGUCCGCGUUGCCGGGAUUUGACGUUUGCUGUAAACAAAUUGAAGGUUCUCCUUGUUAAUUGAAGAAAGUUUUUUUGAGGUAUAUUCUUCUUACUUUACUACUAAGUUCAUGGGUUUAGAUCUCAGUCCAUAAUUCUAAUCUUUCCCUACUUCUUUCAUUUUUUUUUUCUCAUAUGAAUAGUCUAAUUUGUUUGUUCACCUUGCUUUAAUUGUUGCUCUGUGAUUAAGUUUUAAUUCCUUUUGAUUUCUGUUAUCUAAGAUUUGUUUGGGUUGGGAUCCUUAUUUGAAUUUUUAAUUGAGAAUAAUUUGUGGAUUUUUGUCUUAUGAUUGUUGAGCCAUUAGUCCACCAAUAUUUUUUUUAAAGAAAAAUAAUGCACUAAGGAUUUUGGGAUUGAGCGAGUCAUGGAAUCUCAAGUGGCUUUUUUUUUUGUUUUGAUCCAUGUUAGCUAUAUAUUUUAGGCUUCUUUGUUUAUAUGGUUUAUUUGUCUUGGAUAUUUUGUGGAUGUAGUAAUUAUUUGAAAGAUAUAGCGUUAUGCAAAGGCAAAGAAAAUUAUCAUCUUCGUUGUUUUGAACGUGGGGUGGACAACAAGAAUGAAGAUUCAAUUUAUCAUGUUAAUUAUUUUACUUUAUUUGUUUUGAUCACUAGUAGCAUGUUUAGGCCGACCACAACUGGGUUGGCAAUCUUAAGAUCUUUUUUUAUUUAUUUGUUUUUGGUUUCGAGGUGAGAGGUUGCCCUUUUAGUUAGUUUAUAUUUAGAGGAAUCCCCCGUAGAAUUUGUAUAUAUUAUUAUUCGGGGUAUGCCCCAAAGUGAAUGUAAACGGAGGCCAUGAUGAACACCGUGGAAGAAGUAUAGUGUAGGUUAUCUAAGGAUUUUAAUUUUCAUUUAUUAGGAGGGAAAAACCUUGAGCCUUUUCUGUUUUUUUUUUGUAUGUUUUUGCCUCGAUCUGAGUAUUCUUUAAAGCCACCUUGAUCAUGUACGCAACUAUGACCUUCACGAGACU
rnacentral:lncRNA from 1 species